AUGAGAUUGAGCCCGUCACUGGGAGGGUCCCAACCAUCACAGGUGGGUCUUGACCCCCCGGCUCUUCCCGAUAUUCCCUUUUCUCCCCCCGCAGGGCUGCGGGCGGCCGUGACCCUGGUGGAGUCCGGGGGCGACCUCAAGGCCCCGGGGGAGUCCCUGCGGCUCCUCUGCCGCGGCUCCGGCUUCACCUUCAGCAACCACGGACUGUACUGGGUGCGCCAGAGCCCCGGGAAGGGGCUGGAAUUCGUCGGUGGCAUCGACGCUUUUGGUAGCACCUUCUACGCGCCGUCGGUGCAGGGCCGGUUCACCGUCGCCAGGGACAACGGGCAGAGCUCGGUGACGCUGCAGAUGAACAACCUCAGGGAGGAGGAUUCCGCCACCUAUUUCUGCGCCAGAGAUGCUGAUGGCAAUGCUGUUAUGGGUGAUGAUAUCGACCCCCUUGGUGGGGUCCCCAGACCCUCCCCCCAAACCUCCACCCUUCUCACCCAGCUCUUGGUUGUUGUUCUGAACCUUGGGCUGGUUUUGCCCCAGAUCUCAGCCUUUUGCCCCAAACCCCAACUCUUUGCACCAAAUCUCGAAUAUUUUGGCUACUGA